AACGAACGCUGGCGGCAUGCCUAACACAUGCAAGUCGAACGAGACCUUUGGGUCUAGUGGCGCACGGGUGCGUAACGCGUGGAAAUCUGCCCUUGGGUUCGGAAUAACAGUUAGAAAUGACUGCUAAUACCGGAUGAUGACUUCGGUCCAAAGAUUUAUCGCCCAAGGAUGAGCCCGCGUAGGAUUAGCUAGUUGGUAGGGUAAGGGCCUACCAAGGCGACGAUCCUUAGCUGGUCUGAGAGGAUGAUCAGCCACACUGGGACUGAGACACGGCCCAGACUCCUACGGGAGGCAGCAGUGGGGAAUAUUGGACAAUGGGCGAAAGCCUGAUCCAGCAAUGCCGCGUGAGUGAUGAAGGCCCUAGGGUUGUAAAGCUCUUUUACCCGGGAUGAUAAUGACAGUACCGGGAGAAUAAGCCCCGGCUAACUCCGUGCCAGCCGCCGCGGUAAGAC
rnacentral:rRNA from 1 species